CAACUUCAUUCAAUUCUUCUUUAACUUUCCUCAUGGCUUCAGGAUUUUUAAGUAGCUCUGCAAUGAUCCAUUCCGUUGUUGUGCUUGUUGUCUCUGUUCCGGUAAAGAAAAUUUCCUGCAACAUCCAACAUAAACAAUAAUAAAUUAAUAUUUGAUCAAGAAGUAUAUGAUUAUAAAAGGAUAUUAUGCUUACCAAUACAAUUAAAAUGACUUUUUCAUAUGGGAUCUUCUCAUGCCAUUCUUUCCCAUCACCUUCAAAUUCCAACAAAGUAUCAAGGAAGUCCUUUGUCUUUUCUUUCCCUAUUUUACGAUCCUUAAUCCUUUCUUCCACGAAACUCGCAACAAUCUCCUUGGCUUUUCCCAGAUCUCGCAACAUGCUCCUUUUGAGUCCUUGGGGAUCUAACCAUUUCAAGAAAGGUAGAAAAUCUGCUAUAUUUGGCGUCCCUACCCACGUAGCUACUUUGUCCAUGGCUUCAAAAAAUUCAUGCCCUUCUUUGCACUGUGAAUCUAAAAGAUCUCUUGACACCACGAGAUUACCUAUUACGUUAAAUGACAUUAGGAAUAAAUAGUGAGGUAAAUUCACUGCGCCUGAUUCUCCCCUUGCUUUCGCAGCUUCAACAUCAUCUUCAAUGCUCCUGUCAGAUAUCAAUUAGUUAUCUAAGAUUAACGAGAAAUUAAUAUAUGGUAUGCAAGAGAGGAGUGAAAAUUAAUUACCGUAACAUUUGAUUGAUGCAUUUUAGGCGAAUGGAAGCUGUCUCAUUGAGUCGCUUGUUGGUCAUGAGUUCCACGGAGCAAAGACGGCGAAGCAUACGCCAGAAGGAGCCAUAACGGCCGAUUGC
rnacentral:lncRNA from 1 species